CUAGAUUGACGCUGGCGGCGCGCUUAUGCUGCAAGUCGAGCGUGGUCGCGGCUCCCUGCCUGAAUGAUAAAGCGGCAGACGGCUGAGUAACGCGUGAGUAAUCUGCCCUCCGGUGGGGUAUAGCCUCGGGAAACUGAGGAUAAUCCCGCAUACGACCCGCAUCCCUUGGGGUGCCGGUGAAAGGCUUCGGUCGCCGGAGGAGGAGCUCGCGUCCUAUCAGGUUGUUGGUGAGGUAAUGGCUCACCAAGCCGAUGACGGGUAGCUGGUCUGAGAGGAUGACCAGCCAGAGGGGGACUGAGAACGGCCCCCACUCCUACGGGAGGCAGCAGCAGGGAAUCUUGGGCAAUGGGCGAAAGCCUGACCCAGCGACGUCGCGUGGGGGACGAAGGCCUUCGGGUUGUAAACCCCUUUUCCGAGGGAAGAGAAAGGACGGUACCUCGGGAAUAAGCCCCGGCUAACUACGUGCCAGCAGCCGCGGUAAUACGUAGGGGGCAAGCGUUACCCGGAAUCACUGGGCGUAAAGUGCGCGUAGGCGGUUGGAUAGGUCUCUUGUGAAAGCUCCCGGCUCAACUGGGAGAGGUCAAGGGAUACUAUUCGACUUGAGGACAGCAGAGGUAAGCAGAAUUCCCGGUGUAGCGGUGGAAUGCGUAGAUAUCGGGAGGAACACCAGUGGCGAAAGCGGCUUACUGGGCUGUAUCUGACGCUGAGGCGCGAGAGCGUGGGGAGCAAACUGGAUUAGAUACCCAGGUAGUCCACGCCCUAAACGAUGGAUACUAGGUAUGGGGGGGUAUUGACCCCCUCCGUGCCGUAGCUAACGCGUUAAGUAUCCCGCCUGGGGACUACGGCCGCAAGGCUAAAACUCAAAGGAAUUGACGGGGGCCCGCACAAGCGGUGGAGCGUGUGGUUUAAUUCGAUGCUAAGCGAAGAACCUUACCUGGGCUUGACAUGUUAGUAGUAGGAACCCGAAAGGGUGACGACCUCGGGGUAACUCGGGGAGCUUCCACAGGUGCUGCAUGGCUGUCGUCAGCUCGUGCCGUGAGGUGUUGGGUUAAGUCCCGCAACGAGCGCAACCCUCGUCGCUAGUUAUUCUCUCUAGCGAGACAGCCUCCCGCAAGGAGGAGGAAGGUGGGGACGACGUCAAGUCAUCAUGGCCCUUAUGUCCAGGGCUACACACACGCUACAAUGGCCGGUACAAUGGGUUGCCAAAUCGCGAGAUGGAGCCAAUCCCAACAAAGCCGGCCCCAGUUGGAAUUGCAGGCUGAAACCCGCCUGCAUGAACGCGGAAUCGCUAGUAACCGCAGGUCAGCAUACUGCGGUGAAUACGUUCCCGGGCCUUGUACACACCGCCCGUCACGUCAUGGAAGCCGAGAACGAUUGAAGUCGCUGAGCUAACCCGCAAGGGAGGCAGGUGCCGAGGUCGGGUUCGGUAACUGGGAGGAAGUCGCGGGAAUGUGAUUAGAGUUUGAUUCUGGCUCAGAUUGAACGCUGGCGGCAUGCCUACACAGCAAGUCAGA
rnacentral:rRNA from 1 species